rnacentral:SRP_RNA from 1 species
UCGUGCUAGGAGGGGAACUAGCGGUGCCCUGUAUCCGCAAUCCGCUGUAGCGGGGCCGAAUUCCCGGUCGAGGUCCUUUCCAUCCGACUACCAUCGUCGUCUGCCGACGUCGAUAGCCGGGUCCCACGCAGCGAGACGCCGCGAACCCCGUCAGGUCCGGAAGGAAGCAGCGGUAAACGGAGAGUCUCGGGUGCCGUGGGGCGACCUGGCUGGAGCCGGUGGACACGGUCCGUUCGGGUGGUGGGUGAUCGAAACCGGGUGCACGA